CACCGGCGGCGCCUCCGCCCGCAGUGCGUGUGCGUGUGCGUGUGCGUGUGCGUGUGUGUGUGUGUGUGUGUGCUAUGAGCCAUCCCCGCGCCCCUCCGCCCGCCGCCGGCUGACACCCACCGCGCGGGGCGCGCCAGCAGCAGCAGCAGCAGCAGCACCCGGAGGCGAGGAGCCGCGGCCACCGCGCAGUGACCUUGGCCCAGGAGUGCAACGUUCAAAGGUAGCUCAAAUCUGUGGGACAUGGCACAAGGAAAUAACUAUGGGCAAAGCAGCAACGGGGUGGCUGAUGAAUCCCCAAACAUGCUGGUGUACAGAAAGAUGGAAGACGUCAUAGCCCGCAUGCAAGAUGAGAAAAAUGGGAUUCCUAUUCGUACAGUCAAAAGUUUUCUUUCCAAGAUCCCCAGUGUCUUUUCCGGUUCAGACAUUGUCCAAUGGCUAACGAAGAACUUAUCUAUAGAAGACCCAGUGGAAGCUCUACAUUUGGGAACACUGAUGGCAGCACAUGGCUAUUUCUUUCCAAUCUCAGACCAUGUUCUAACACUAAAGGAUGAUGGCACCUUUUAUCGAUUCCAGACACCCUAUUUUUGGCCAUCAAAUUGUUGGGAGCCGGAAAACACAGACUAUGCUGUUUACCUCUGCAAGCGGACAAUGCAAAACAAAGCAAGGCUAGAGCUAGCAGACUAUGAAGCUGAGAGUUUGGCCAGGCUACAGCGAGCAUUUGCUCGGAAAUGGGAGUUUAUUUUUAUGCAAGCUGAAGCACAAGCAAAAGUCGACAAGAAGAGAGACAAGAUAGAGAGGAAGAUUCUCGACAGCCAGGAGCGAGCGUUCUGGGACGUGCACCGGCCGGUGCCUGGAUGUGUAAACACUACUGAAGUGGAUAUAAAAAAAUCUUCAAGAAUGAGAAAUCCACAUAAAACAAGAAAGUCUGUCUAUGGCUUACAAAACGACAUUCGAAGUCACAGCCCUACCCACACACCAGUACCAGAGACUAAGCCACCCACAGAAGAUGAACUACACCAAGAGAUUAAGCACUGGCAAAUGCAAUUAGACAGACAUAGAUUAAAAAUGUCAAAAGUUGCAGAGAGUCUAUUAGCUUAUACAGAGCAGUAUUUGGAAUAUGAUCCUUUCCUUGUGCCCCCUGAUCCCUCAAACCCUUGGAUAUCAGAUGACACCACUUUCUGGGAACUGGAGGCAAGCAAAGAGCCAGGGCAGCAGAGAGUGAAACGAUGGGGGUUUGGCAUGGAUGAAGCUUUGAAAGACCCUGUGGGAAGAGAGCAGUUUCUCAAAUUCCUGGAGUCAGAAUUCAGUUCAGAAAAUUUAAGGUUCUGGUUAGCAGUAGAAGACCUGAAGAAGAGGCCUAUCCGUGAAGUUCCUGCCCGCGUCCAAGAAAUCUGGCAAGAAUUUCUUGCUCCAGGUGCACCCAGCGCUAUCAAUCUAGAUUCAAAAAGUUAUGACAAAACUACACAGAAUGUAAAGGACCCUGGAAGAUACACAUUUGAAGAUGCUCAGGAGCACAUUUACAAACUGAUGAAAAGUGAUUCUUAUCCUCGUUUUAUACGAUCCAGUGCCUACCAGGAGCUGCUACAGGCCAAGAAAAAGUUGGAAAACACUCUGGAUCGUCGAACAUCUUUUGAGAAAUUCACACGCAAUGUGGGCAGAAACAUCCCUAUUUUCCCAUGCCAUAAAAACUGUACACCAACACUGAGGGCGAGCACUAACCUGUUAUGAAAAGAGGUAAAGGCUUCCUGUAAUAUGCUUUGAAUCCACUGUAAUCAGGAAGAAUUUUGGAUUCAAUGGGACAAAGUCAGUAAAGGACACUAAAAAGGGAAAUCGCUCACAUCAAAGAGGUUAACCAGUCUAGUGCAGUCCUACUAAAAGGAUCACCUUGUAGCAUGGAAGCAGACUCAAAUCAUUAUACAUACUUUGUAGCUCACUGAUUGCCUGACUCAGAGGACAGUAGAACAAGAUGUUGCAUGAGCAAGGACCUGACUUGUUUUCUUUUGUGUAUACUAAGGCAUUACAGACUCCGAGGGACUCUCUAGCCUUUCGAUGCCUCCAUUUUGAAAACUGUCUGCUCACUUCCUCCUUCAUAUCAAGCUGGAUCUGUGUCUUUUUAUUUUCUGCAAGCUCAA